rnacentral:lncRNA from 1 species
AAAAGAUCCCACCAUGUCAAAUCAACUACUCUCUAUCUAGCCUUCCCCUUAUGUUAUUUUUGGUAACCUUCCCCUUUGCCAAGUAAACCACUGUCUAGAGAAACCGAAAUCACUCAGGUUACACUCCUCCAGUACUUCUUGAAAAGCAAACAUCUGUCUCUCUUCAUGGAAAUGCCCCCUUUUUCUUAAAAGAAAACAUCACCUCAUUAAAACCCCAAUACUAGCCAAGAAAAAUGACUACUACUUCUCACUACCGUAGAACAUUCCAUGACUCAUUUCUUAAAUGCUCCAUAAGGGAACCAUAGAACCCAGUAAACCUCUAAAGAGCUACUCAUUCUUCAUCCACUUCAAUGUCUAUGUGAGACUUAGAAAAACUCUUUAAAUAAAUAGAUAAUC